rnacentral:lncRNA from 7 species
AUACAAGGGCUGGCUACUGAAAGGAGAAUGUCUCUUGGAGCUAGGCUGCUUCUUGAGGAGGUGUGCUGUAUAGACAGAGAUUCCUAUCAUUAGUUGGAUGAGUUCUACUCUUCUUUCUAUAUAUGACUACUAGCCUACCUGUGAAUUCUUUGCCUGGUAUUGCUGAGAACAUGUAAGAAGCAAUCUUGCUGCUUCAUGAGCAGGACAGAUCCAUUUGCCCAUAUGUGAGCCUGCAUGUGCCCAGUUGGCUUCAGCUCCUUCUCUAGAAGAGCACAGCCUGCUGCCUCUAGCCAGAAGCCUCUCUGUGGGCAGAGUCUCGUUUCUUGUCAGUCACCACAAUGCAGAUGAGUUUUUCAUUCUCAGCACUUAGGAGAAGUGAAGGUGAAACUGCAGGUACUACGAUAAUCAGGCAGCUCACUGAAAUUGGCCUUUGAUAAUAAUUUUGUUGUAUGCUUGAAUAUUUCAUUUUGUUCUGAUUUAAGAUGACUUUCUUUACCAAUGUAAUAUUAACAAUUUGGGGGUUGUUUUUAAUGACUUAUAGUUAAAUGGAAUUCCUAAGAGAGGGAAAACUUUGUACUUCAUCAUGGAUAUAGGCGUUAGCUAUUCACAAUAAAAGGCCAAUCCAACAUUUAAGUGGAAAACAAGCAAUAGUAAGAUGCGUCUUAUGGAUUAAACUCUUACAUUUUACAGGUGCUCAAUUUAUAGAAAUAGUCAUUGCUAAUUUACUGUUAAGAGUAUGUGCAGAUACUUGGCUAAUGGAAAUCAUCAAAUGAAUUGUCUCUUUACUGCUUGAAACUGUAACGUCUAUGACUAAUUUUCUACAGUCAAAAGAUUAAUUUUUUGGUCUUUAUUUACAUUAAUCUACUUUAUUUCUCAUAGCGUUCACACUUAUAUAUUUUCCACACCUUGCAAAUACAUGGUUCCACAUUUCCAAGUGGCUCUGGCCCCAUGACUGAAUGUAAAGAUGAACUAUAAUUAAAAGACAUAAACAAGGUCCCAUCUUUCUCAGAGAUCUCCUCAUUUCUAAAUAUAAAAUGGUCCGCGCUCUCAUUCAUAUUACCAGAAGCAUUGACCAAUGUCACAAUUGUGAACUACAAAGGCACUGAUUUAAUCUUUUAAGAGGUAUCUGAGGAAUUAGUUUCCAACCCCAUAAGCCUGUUCUAUAUUUGCAAAUUUUGAGCAUUGUGUCAUACUGUCAAAUGUUUGAACACUUAAUAAAUUACACUUAAUACAGUGACUUUGAAAUCAACAAGAGUUAUGUAAUUGUAUUCACUGGGUCUAGAAUUGCAUAUAAUGUGCUAGAGGUUUGUUCUUGAAGAAAACAGUGAGGCAAGACACACUUUGAGCUUCUGUGAGUUUGUUUCAAAGGGUAGUGUUUAGUGGGUGUUUUUCUUCCUGGAUUCUUGUAAAUCAGGAAAUACAAAAUCACUUUGUCUAUUACUGUCACGCCAAACUGCGAAGAGAUUAUGCCUUUCUCAAGUUUCUCACAUCUCGCUGUACUCAGUUUUUCAGAACUCUGCAUGUUGGUUGUUACAGAAGGUACCUGAAAUGUUGUUAUCACUUUGCAUCUGCCUAUAACUGUAUCAGGAAACCAGAGUCCUGUGAUUGUCACAGGUGUCUACCAGAGAUAGCAUUGGUAGAAAUUAUAGUGUAGGCAGGACUUGAGCCUGAGAGAAGUUGAAAAGAGUGCUGAUGGAAUCACAAGACAUUUCACUAAGUAGGAAAUCCUGCACCUUAUUUCUAACACUGUUUAAAUGCUCACUGUUGUGAUUGUUAGAAACAUCUUGCUAGUGGGGCUACUUAGUGAGGUUGGGUACAGUGAUCUGUUUCUGGUCUUACACUAAGUCCAAAUGUGUUGCACAGUAACAAACUUCUGAUUUGCAGAUAUGAAAACAAUUUCUACAAUUAUUUUGCUCAAGAAAUCAGAGAGCUCUUAUAUAUAGGUUCUUUUUUCCAUAUGUCUCAACAAAUGGAUGAUGGUGGAUAAAAGUGUAAUUGGUCAC